UACGUAGGGGGCUAGCGUUGUCCGGAUUUAUUGGGCGUAAAGAGCGUGUAGGCGGCCAAGUAGGUCCGGUGUGAAAACUCGAGGCUCAACCUCGAGACGUCGGCGGAAACCAUCUGGCUAGAGUCCGGAAGAGGAGAGUGGAAUUCCUGGUGUAGCGGUGAAAUGCGCAGAUAUCAGGAAGAACACCCGUGGCGAAGGCGGCUCUCUGGGACGGUACUGACGCUGAGACGCGAAAGCGUGGGGAGCGAACAGG
rnacentral:rRNA from 1 species